AGAUGAGAUUUCCCAUGAUUUUAUAUCAGUAAGAGCCCUGAGAGAUGAUCAGGUAGAUAGGUUAGAAGUGGAAGUGUGGCGACACAUGUAGCGGACUAAUACUAAUAGCUCGAGGACUUAUCCAAA
rnacentral:rRNA from 1 species